rnacentral:rRNA from 1 species
AUUGAACGCUGGCGGCAGGCCUAACACUUGCAAGUCGUGCGAGCGGCGGACGGGUGCGUAAUGGAUGGGGAUCUGCCUGAUGGAGGGGGAUAACUACUGGAAACGGUAGCUAAUACCGCAUACCAUCAGCUGAACCCAUAUGGGAUAAGCUUGUAGGUGAGGUAACGGCUCACCUAGGUGACGAUCCCUAGCUGGUCUGGGAGGCUGAUCGGCCACACUGGGACUGGGACACGGCCCAGACUCCUACGGGGGGCAGCAGUGGGGAAUAUUGCACAAUGGGCGCAAUCCUGAUGCAGCCAUGCCGCGUGUAUGAAGAAGGCCUUCGGGUUGUAAAGUACUUUCAGUCGGGAGGCGUUACCGACAGAAGAAGCACCGGCUAACUCCGUGCCAGCAGCCGCGGUAAUAC